CUCUAACAGCCAUCUUAGGAGUGGCCAGUGAAGUUAUCACUAGACUGUAAUGUAAACGCUGCAUUUUCUCUGAAAAGACAGUGUUUACAGCAAAAAGCCUGAAGGUAAUGAUUCUACUCACCAGAACAAAUUCAAUAAGCUGUAGUUGUUCUGGUGACUAUAGUGUCCCUUUAAUGUUACAUGCAAACUUUAAUGGAUGGCAGACAGAGGUAUGGAGGGGAUCUUCACUCCUUAGGAUUUUAAGACCAACAAUAUAUCCAAAUGACCACGUCAGUUACACAGGUGACACAGCAGAG